UGAGGAAUAUUGGUCAAUGGGCGAGAGCCUGAACCAGCCAAGUAGCGUGAAGGAAGACUGCCCUAUGGGUUGUAAACUUCUUUUAUAAGGGAAUAAAGAGCGCCACGUGUGGUGUGUUGUAUGUACCUUAUGAAUAAGCAUCGGCUAAUUCCGUGCCAGCAGCCGACGGUAUCUCACUGU
rnacentral:rRNA from 1 species